GUAGGGUCGAAAAGGCAGAUCACAGUUCAGUGAUGUGGGUAAUUGAUAAUGGAGAGCACACACUGGCAGACUGGGGAGGGAUGUUGUCAUGACUCAGCUGGUAUCGCUUGAGCUUGUUAGAUUUCUCUAGAAGUCGUUAAAACUUUCCUCCCACUAAUAUCUCAGUAUUGCUAAAAAAAAAAAACUUAUGAAAACAAAUGUAAUAAUUUAACACAUAGAUUGAUGCAUUACAGUUCUUAAGUUCAGUAAUUUGAAUAUAUAUAUAUAUUAGUGCUGUCAAACAACUAAAAUAUUUAAUCAGAUUAAUCACCGGGUUGCUGUGGACUAAUUUCAAUUAAUCAUGAUUAAAUAUCAUUCCUUUUAAAUCGAAAUUGUGUUUCAUUUUGCAUGCACAGAUUCAAGAAAGAAGAGAAUAUACUUAACAUUUAACAAUUAAGGUGUUUAUUAAACACCUUUAAAGGUUCAUGUUAGAAUCCCCGACUAACGCAUGCUUCACAUUAAUGUGGUACUUUAAGCUGGAAGUGCUUCGGUGAAAAGAAAACUCCUUCCUGCAGAGUGUGCAUAUUACUGUAUGUCGAUUGUUUAGUCUUGUUUUUUUGUUUUUUUUGUAUUCAAAUUUCCCACCGAGAUGGCCAUCGUGCUGUUUAGUAGGGCCCAACCGAUAUGGAUUUUUUAGAGGCCGAUUCCAAUAUUUGGCGGGAAAAAAUUCUGCUAAUUAAUCGGAUGAUUAAUUUAGAAAAUAUAAAAUGAAUAAAAUAACUUCUUUUUUGAUCCUUUAACACUUACAAAAACAAAGAUAUGAAUUACAGGCAAAACAGUUUACUGUUUCACAAUACUUUGUCCUUCAGUAUUUGUUUAACUUUACAACAGAGAGGAAUUUUCAAGCACAAAAAACAUGCAGCAAAGCAUUGUGUAUGUUUUUAAAAAUACUAUAGAAGAUAUAGACAAAGGAAAACAAGUUACAAGUUCAGUCAUUUUAGGGACCAAAUGUCCUCUUUCAGCAUUGCCUACCUCAUUUGAUUAACACUAUAUAUAAGUUUGGACACACCCUUUCAUUUAAUGCUUUUUAUUUAUUUGUGUUAUUUUCUUCGUUGUAGAUUAACACUGAAAAUUAACACUUCUUUUGUGCUGCAGGAGGAGGUGCUGCAGAGAGCCAGCGUCACCACAUUGGGUCUGGCUGCAGGUGUUGUCACCAUGGGAAUGAGACGAGCCCCUCCUGUGGUUGAAGGCUGGCUCUUGCUUCAUCAACUACAACAUCACUCCUGUGGAGGUGCCCUAGGAGGCUUCAAAAUGUCAGGCAUCAGGCAGGACAAUGGCCAGCCUUCAUAAGGCGGUGCACGACAAUGGAGAACUGGAAACCAGUAGAAGAGGCCAAGCUUCAAAAGGCACGCAUAAAAAGAGGUCAGUAAAGUAAUUGGCUUUUCAAACAUAAUGUUUACAGCUGCCCCCUUGUUCACUAGUCCUGUUUUUUACCAUUGUUUGACAUGUUUUUAAACCAGUGGUUCUCAACUGGUCGGUCAAGACCCAAAUGUGUGUUGCAAGGCCUUUUUCAGUGGGUUGUAAAUUCAAUAAUCUUGUAAAUUUUGUACCUUUUUUCAAAGUUAAAACUUGUUUUUAUAACUGUUUUUCAAAAAUUGUGACUUUUUUCUCCAAAAAUUGUGACUUUUGUGAUUGCUAUCAUUGUUACAGUUCACUGUUCAUUGUGUUGUAUUAAAUAAAUGGGGUUGCAGUUUGCUCUCA